CCUACGGGAGGCAGCAGUAGGGAAUCUUAGACAAUGGGGGCAACCCUGAUCUAGCCAUGCCGCGUGUGUGAUGAAGGCCCUAGGGUCGUAAAGCACUUUCGCCAGAGAUGAUAAUGACAGUAUCUGGUAAAGAAACCCCGGCUAACUCCGUGCCAGCAGCCGCGGUAAUACGGAGGGGGCUAGCGUUGUUCGGAAUUACUGGGCGUAAAGCGCACGUAGGCGGAUUAGUAAGUUAGAGGUGAAAUCCCAGGGCUCAACCCUGGAACUGCCUUUAAUACUGCUAGUCUUGAGUUCGAGGGAGGUAAGUGGAAUUCCGAGUGUAGAGGUGAAAUUCGUAGAUAUUCGGAGGAACACCAGUGGCGAAGGCGGCUUACUGGCUCGAUACUGACGCUGAGGUGCGAAAGUGUGGGGAGCAAACAGGAUUAGAUACCCUGGUAGUCCACACCGUAAACGAUGAAUGCCUGACGUCAGCAAGUAUACUUGUUGGUAUCACACCUAACGGAUUAAGCAUUCCGCCUGGGGAGUACGGUCGCAAGAUUAAAACUCAAAGGAAUUGACGG
rnacentral:rRNA from 1 species